CGAGUUCCUUUUCCUCUGGUGGCUCUGGGGCUCUCUGUCUAGAGCCUCCUGACCUCAUGGGCGCCUGAGCCCUCCUCCGAAAUUUCCUGUCCACACCUCAAGCACUGACUUUCUCCAGGGCCCUGGAAUCUUUUCCCCCAGCCUUAUGACCACAAGUACACGUCCUCUGGUUCCAGACCAUACCCAAGACCCUGCUCCCUGCCACCCAGUGACAGGGACCCAGCCAGAGAUGGGUAGCACCUCAGACCCUUCCUCCCCACUCCUCCCACGGCCUAUACCUCGUUUUCUUCUCCCCAGCCACAACGGCUUCUCAAUCCCUAUCCUGCUCCCCUUACCCCAUCUCCACAGAGUAGGGGAUGCUCCUAGAAUACAGAUUGCGAUGACUUUGUAUCUCCCCUGCCUAAAACCCUUCCAUUCUCCUCUCUGCAGGCCUGGGAUGACAAUACUUGAGGAAUCCUCGCUGGUGCUGCCCUCCUGCCCUCUGCUUGGAACCCCUCCCCUAAGUGUCAGUGAGUGGACGUAUAUAUUUGGAUCAAUCGAGUUGCACCCUUUGCCUCCCAGAUCAGUUCCUCCGGCCUCCCUGGCUGAGCAGAAGGACAGCUCUGGACACUUGUGUCAGCACCCAGCCCACGUGUCCCUGCCACAGCUUCAUAUAAGAUCCAGGAAGGCCACUGAGAUUUCCACUUUAUCUACUGUUUCUUGUGCACGUACUUAACCAUAAAUCAAAACAGCCUCUGUGUUAUCAUCCUUCAAUGUUCAACACAUCGCAUCGGAGUCGCCCUUUCCCUACAGAAUAUAAGCUCUGGGUCUGGGGGCUAAUAGUGUGGGGAUCCACCAUCUUGUCUUGCCCCCACCUGAGACACAGAUGUGGCUUCUAUUCGUAUGUCCCUAUUAAAUGCUUU
rnacentral:lncRNA from 1 species